rnacentral:rRNA from 1 species
GACGAACGCUGGCGGCGUGCUUAACACAUGCAAGUCGAACGGAAAGGCCCUGCUUUUGUGGGGUGCUCGAGUGGCGAACGGGUGAGUAACACGUGAGUAACCUGCCCUUGACUUUGGGAUAACUACAGGAAACUGGGGCUAAUACCGGAUAGGAGCUCCUGCUGCAUGGUGGGGGUUGGAAAGUUUCGGCGGUUGGGGAUGGACUCGCGGCUUAUCAGCUUGUUGGUGGGGUAGUGGCUUACCAAGGCUUUGACGGGUAGCCGGCCUGAGAGGGUGACCGGCCACAUUGGGACUGAGAUACGGCCCAGACUCCUACGGGAGGCAGCAGUGGGGAAUAUUGCACAAUGGGCGGAAGCCUGAUGCAGCAACGCCGCGUGCGGGAUGACGGCCUUCGGGUUGUAAACCGCUUUCGCCUGUGACGAAGCGUGAGUGACGGUAAUGGGUAAAGAAGCACCGGCUAACUACGUGCCAGCAGCCGCGGUGAUACGUAGGGUGCGAGCGUUGUCCGGAUUUAUUGGGCGUAAAGGGCUCGGAGGUGGUUGAUCGCGUCGGAAGUGUAAUCUUGGGGCUUAACCCUGAGCGUGCUUUCGAUACGGGUUGACUUGAGGAAUUUAGGGGAGAAUGGAAUUCCUGGUGGAGCGGUGGAAUGCGCAGAUAUCAGGAGGAACACCAGUGGCGAAGGCGGUUCUCUGGGCCUUUCCUGACGCUGAGGAGCGAAAGCGUGGGGAGCGAACAGGCUUAGAUACCCUGGUAGUCCACGCUGUAAACGGUGGGUACUAGGUGUGGGGUCCAUUCCACGGGUUCCGUGCCGUAGCUAACGCUUUAAGUACCCCGCCUGGGGAGUACGGCCGCAAGGCUAAAACUCAAAGGAAUUGACGGGGCCCCGCACAAGCGGCGGAGCAUGCGGAUUAAUUCGAUGCAACGCGUAGAACCUUACCUGGGUUUGACAUGGAUCGGGAGUGCUCAGAGAUGGGUGUGCCUCUUUUGGGGUCGGUUCACAGGUGGUGCAUGGCUGUCGUCAGCUCGUGUCGUGAGAUGUUGGGUUAAGUCCCGCAACGAGCGCAACCCUUGUUCACUGUUGCCAGCACGUUAUGGUGGGGACUCAGUGGAGACCGCCGGGGUCAACUCGGAGGAAGGUGGGGAUGACGUCAAGUCAUCAUGCCCCUUAUGUCCAGGGCUUCACGCAUGCUACAAUGGCUGGUACAGAGAGUGGCGAGCCUGUGAGGGUGAGCGAAUCUCGGAAAGCCGGUCUCAGUUCGGAUUGGAGUCUGCAACUCGACCUCAUGAAGUCGGAGUCGCUAGUAAUCGCAGAUCAGCAACGCUGCGGUGAAUACGUUCCCGGG